AACGAACGCUGGCGGCGUGCCUAACACAUGCAAGUCGAACGGAAUUAGAGAGCUUGCUCUUUGAUUUAGUGGCGCACGGGUGAGUAACGCGUAGAUAAUCUGCCUGACGAUCUGGGAUAACACUUCGAAAGAGGUGCUAAUACCGGAUAAGCCCACGGGUUCUUUGGAAUCUGCGGGAAAAGGGGGGGACCUUCGGGCCUUCUGUCGUCAGAUGAGUCUGCGUACCAUUAGCUAGUUGGUAGGGUAAAGGCCUACCAAGGCGACGAUGGUUAGCUGGUCUGGGAGGAUGACCAGCCACACUGGAACUGAGAAGCGGUCCAGACUCCUACGGGAGGCAGCAGUGGGGAAUUUUGCGCAAUGGGCGAAAGCAUGACGCAGCAACGCCGCGUGAGUGAUGAAGGCUUUCGGGUCGUAAAGCUCUGUCAAUGGGAAACAAGUGUAUGUUGGCUAAUAUCCUUAAUACUUGACGGUACCCAUAAAGGAAGCACCGGCUAACUCCGUGCCAGCAGCCGCCGUAA
rnacentral:rRNA from 1 species